rnacentral:rRNA from 1 species
UACGUAGGGUGCAAGCGUUGUCCGGAAUUAUUGGGCGUAAAGAGCUCGUAGGCGGUUUGUCGCGUCGGCUGUGAAAACCUGGGGCUCAACCCCGGGCCUGCAGCCGAUACGGGCAAACUAGAAUUCGGUAGGGGAGACUGGAAUUCCUGGUGUAGCGGUGAAAUGCGCAGAUAUCAGGAGGAACACCGGUGGCGAAGGCGGGUCUCUGGGCCGGUACCGACGCUGAGGAGCGAAAGCGUGGGGAGCGAACAGG